CGGGAGCGACACCCACACAAUCAAAAGCUGCUCUAUCCAGCCGGGCCGAGCGUUUCCGUGCUGCCCAGAGGAGAUGCCAUCCUGAGGAGUGGUUGGCCAGGACAUGACCUGGGCAGAAAGCCAGGGAGGAGCCCUGGGAGCAAAGCAGGUGUGGUGACACACUCGAGGAGCCAUGGUGGGAACUCUGGGGACUCAAAGGCAUCAAGCAGUGCUCAUCAUGUGGAGAGACUCCUUCCAUGUCCCAGGGAGGGACUUUCAUCUCCCCGUGUCAAGCUGUGCAGCCAGGAAGACCAAAGGCAGAGGAUGUGAGCAGUGGUCAUCCCUGAAGGGCCGGGGCGCAGAGCAGCAUCUUCUGGUUUUAAUUAAAAACCAUCCGCUGGCAAAGUCUGAUGGCGUGAGCGGUGCCUGGGCCGGGACAGGACCAGCAGGGAGCGUCUCCAGGGCAGCGCCCGGCACCGGCCGGGGCUGCCCCGCGUCCGAGCUCCGCCCCACGCCUGCCUUCCGUCCUCGUCCCUCUUCCCCUGCUCCCUCCUGCCUCCUUCCCUCUCCCCAGGGACCCCAGUGCCACUCUCGCCGUCACUUGGUCACCCCAUCCAUGGCCAUGAGCCCUUAGAGUUCUUCCCCUGCUCAUCCUCACUGAGGUUCCCCAUGUCUGCCCAGUUUGGGGGGUGGGGCAGAGGGCAGGGAGUGCCCCCCAGAGCAGAUUAUCCCAGGGGAUAAUAUCCCAUCCAUUCCCGGGCCCUGCCAUAGACCCCAGACAUUUGCCACGGGCACUGUCCCCUCACUGUGACCCCCACCUCUCUGCCACGGGGCUCACCCCAUCACUGUGACCCCCCAGUCCGGUUCCACGGCCCACUCUCUGUCACAACCCUCAUCCCUCUUCCAUGGAGCUCACUCUGCUCCCGUGCCCCCAUCCUCAUCCCAUCCCCGUGCCCCCAGCCCUCCUCCGCAGGGCUCACCCUCUGCUGUGACCCCCAUCCCUGCUCUGAGGGCUCCCCAGCCACCCCGAGCCGCGCUGACUUCACCCGGGCAGCGAUUUCCCCAUCACAUCAAAUUCGCCCAGCCCGAGCCCGGCGCGGCCGCUAAUCAGCUGGGUUAUCUGCGCCCCAUUCUUCACCGCUGCCGCUGCCCCGCCCGGGCGCGGGGGCUCAUCCCACCGCCCUCCUCCUCCUCCUCCUCCUCCCGCGGCAGCCACCUCCAUCCUUCCUUCCCACCCUGCAGCCCCGCCGCCCCCCCGGCCGGAGCGCGGCCAGCUGGCUUUGCCUGCUUUUCGGCUUCAACCUCCCCCAAGGAUUCCUAAAUCUGAUAAGGGAGGGGGGUGCUGCUUUCAAAGGAGCGGGGUUGACCUUUGCCGCUGCAACGAGAGCCGCAUGGAGGAAAAAAAUUGGCUGCGGCGAGCGGGGGGGAGCGAGCGAGCGAGCUGCUGUGGUUUUACAAUCCCUAAAUAACGCCGGGAGCUGAGCUGUAAACACAUGGCGGUACUGCCUGAGCGUGUCCGCACCCCCUCGAUGGAAACCCAGCCUGGAAAAUACUCCGACCUUAAAGG